UUUGCCGAAGAUGAAUUAGAUGAAGCUUAUAGAAAUGCUGUGAGAUUUGAGGAGGAGACUAUACUACUGCAACAAUCCUGUAUGAUUAUCUACGGAAAAUAUCCUUAGAGCUACUGAAAGUAGGAACGAGAGGCCCUAACACUAAAACAAACUCCAUUCAAUCAAACUGUGGUGAGAAUUCAGAUACAGGGUCUGUUAUGGAGGCUCAGGUGCUUGAAGGAAGAA